AUACGGAGGGUCCGAGCGUUAUCCGGAAUCAUUGGGUUUAAAGGGUCCGUAGGCGGGAAUCUAAGUCAGUGGUGAAAUCUUGCAGCUCAACUGUAAAAUUGCCAUUGAUACUGGAUUUCUUGAAUUAGUGUGAAGUGGUUAGAAUGUGUAGUGUAGCGGUGAGAUGCAUAGAUAUUACACAGAAUACCAAUUGCGAAGGCAGAUCACUAACACUAUAUUGACGCUAAGGGACGAAAGCGUGGGGAGCGAACAGGAUUAGAAACCCCAGUAGUCC
rnacentral:rRNA from 1 species